AGAGUUUGAUCCUGGCUCAGAUUGAACGCUGGCGGCAUGCCUUACACAUGCAAGUCGAACGGCAGCACGAGAGCUUGCUCUUGGUGACGAGUGGCGAACGGGUGAGUAAUAUAUCGGAACGUACCCUAGAGUGGGGGAUAACGUAGCGAAAGUUACGCUAAUACCGCAUACGAUCUACGGAUGAAAGUGGGGGAUCGCAAGACCUCAUGCUCAUGGAGCGGCCGAUAUCUGAUUAGCUAGUUGGUGGGGUAAAAGCUCACCAAGGCGACGAUCAGUAGCUGGUCUGAGAGGACGACCAGCCACACUGGAACUGAGACACGGUCCAGACUCCUACGGGAGGCAGCAGUGGGGAAUUUUGGACAAUGGGCGCAAGCCUGAUCCAGCAAUGCCGCGUGAGUGAAGAAGGCCUUCGGGUUGUAAAGCUCUUUUGUCAGGGAAGAAACGGUGGACUCUAAUACAGAUCACUAAUGACGGUACCUGAAGAAUAAGCACCGGCUAACUACGUGCCAGCAGCCGCGGUAAUACGUAGGGUGCAAGCGUUAAUCGGAAUUACUGGGCGUAAAGCGUGCGCAGGCGGUUGUGCAAGACAGAUGUGAAAUCCCCGGGCUCAACCUGGGAAUUGCAUUUGUGACUGCACGGCUAGAGUGUGUCAGAGGGGGGUAGAAUUCCACGUGUAGCAGUGAAAUGCGUAGAGAUGUGGAGGAAUACCGAUGGCGAAGGCAGCCCCCUGGGAUAACACUGACGCUCAUGCACGAAAGCGUGGGGAGCAAACAGGAUUAGAUACCCUGGUAGUCCACGCCCUAAACGAUGUCUACUAGUUGUCGGGUCUUAAUUGACUUGGUAACGCAGCUAACGCGUGAAGUAGACCGCCUGGGGAGUACGGUCGCAAGAUUAAAACUCAAAGGAAUUGACGGGGACCCGCACAAGCGGUGGAUGAUGUGGAUUAAUUCGAUGCAACGCGAAAAACCUUACCUACCCUUGACAUGUCUGGAAUCCUUGAGAGAUCAGGGAGUGCUCGAAAGAGAAUCAGAACACAGGUGCUGCAUGGCUGUCGUCAGCUCGUGUCGUGAGAUGUUGGGUUAAGUCCCGCAACGAGCGCAACCCUUGUCAUUAGUUGCUACGAAAGGGCGCUCUAAUGAGACUGCCGGUGACAAACCGGAGGAAGGUGGGGAUGACGUCAAGUCCUCAUGGCCCUUAUGGGUAGGGCUUCACACGUCAUACAAUGGUACAUACAGAGGGCCGCCAACCCGCGAGGGGGAGCUAAUCCCAGAAAGUGUAUCGUAGUCCGGAUUGUAGUCUGCAACUCGACUACAUGAAGUUGGAAUCGCUAGUAAUCGCGGAUCAGCAUGUCGCGGUGAAUACGUUCCCGGGUCUUGUACAUACCGCCCGUCACACCAUGGGAGCGGGUUUCACCAGAAGUGGGUAGCCUAACCGCAAGGAGGGCGCUCACCACGGUGGGAUUCGUGACUGGGGUGAAGUCGUAACAAGGUA
rnacentral:rRNA from 1 species